GUUCAUCACAUGAGUGUGAUGAUGACAACACUAAGCACCUGAAUAUGGAUCAGAAUUACAGAAAAAUAAAAAAUGAAAAAUGACGAGCACAGUUUUUGGCUCUGCCUUUUAUAGGAUGCAUGGAUUUCAUUUGUUUAGACACUUCGAUAGCAUUGAAGUAUAUCGUAUUCACUUAGCUCAAGCUCAAAACCUCUCCAUUUGUUAAAGAUGCCCAAAAACUAUUCAUGAAAGUGAAAA
rnacentral:lncRNA from 1 species